rnacentral:tRNA from 2 species
GCCCCGUUAGCUCAGUGGAUUAGAGCGUCUGCCUCCGGAGCAGAAGGCCGUAGGUUCGAACCCUAUACGGGGCA